GGGUAAAUUAGUUCAGCCCAGAGGCGGGAAUUUUGGUGAACGAGAGAAGGGAGGGAGCGUCGAAGGCGAAACCAAUAUGGCGGCAGCAGCGGGCAUUAGCAUGAACAAAGUGGAUUAUUUCAUGACUCCUAUGUCUUUGGAGGAAAAGAGUGGAAGUUAAUAGGCUGGGACCAUAUCAUCCAAACGAUGUUCAAAUAACGGGACAAACGGCAGAAUCGUAAAUUUUGUGUUACGUGGUUUCAGCGAAAGGACUAGCUAACGGCAAGUCCUGCAGAUCACUGGGGUUGAUCUUAUUCAGGGCCUGUCUGUUCUUUGCACAAGGCCUCAGUAAAAUAAGAGAGAAAGUGCAAAGCCCAUCUCUAUUCUCACCUCCACACCUGGAAUGGUUGAUGGAGAAGAAGACGAGAGACGGCUUUACUCCAGGAAGCGUUCAAGAAGGCGAAAUCGUCAAACUCUGCACUGGAGGAGGCCUUGGAAAUGGAAACGGCAGCCAGGGCAGCUGUGGUGGAAGCAUUGCAAAGUGAAAAAUCAUCCACCAAUGAAAGAAAAAGCCGACAAGCAGGACCUCCCUGUUUCUGAUCUUCGGGCCAAACUUCAGGAACGAAAACUGGGGUCGCAGUCCUCCGAAGUCAGGGUGGAAGUACUCACAUCUGAGCUCGAAAGCUGUGAGAGAGCAAGGAAGCAACUCAGGAAGAGCUUAGCAGACUGUGAGAGGAGGCUGAAAGAGCAGGGAAUCUAAUCUGGUUUUGCUGAGAGCAAAGGAUACGUGUGAAGAGUGAACUACUGCACAGCUGAAGUGAAGUCCUUCUGUUGCUGCUUCUGAAGAAAAGCAAGAGCGUCAGAGGAGCUGUGCAGAUAGGAGCAGCUGGUGAAAGAAGGCCUGUGGACACACAAUACUAAAGGCCUGUUUACUAUAAAGGAAUGCGGUUAGCAGUUGUCAGGGUGACUGGCCGGCCAUGAAGCGAGGUCUCGGAAACAAACAGGAAGUAAAAAGAGAACUGAGAACUGCAACUGAAACUGAAAGGGCAGUUAGUGCUCUGGUUCAACUGAAUGAGCUGUGUGUAAAACAAAGCAAACAUCUGCUGCUCUGACAAAAAAGCCUAAACCACAAACACACAGAGUAUUUUCCACUCAGAACACACACUCUGCCUGUUACUCGCAUGCAGUCAUUGCAUGUCCUUACUUGCACAAGUCAGCAGCAAAGCUUUAAUUCUUAUCUCAGAAGCUGCGCUCGGAGCCAACUUUGGCUUUGCCAUUUUUUUCAGUCACUGAGGAAAGUCCUCACUUUCAGAGGACUUUGUUUUUACUGGACGCUCUUAUCUUAACAGCAAUAAAUAUUUACAGGGCCUGUGUCUGGGAAGCUGUAAAAACUGGACUCUGAGCUCUGUGAUAAACUUUCACCAGUUUAAAUUUCUUUCACAAGUCAUGAAUGAGGCCAAACAGCCUAUAUAAAUACAAAAAAAGUCUUUAUUCAGAUUUACAUGGUGAUUCACAUGAAGUCGUAAUGUACAGAGAAGAAACAGUGGUGACAGGUUGUGGUAAAAGCCUCUUGGCUGCAUUGCAAGAAGCAGAACAAUGAUCUGGGGUUGUUUUUUUUUUUUUUUUUUCCUUUCUUUGUCUCGUUUGAACUGACUGUUGCCCUUUAUGGUAAUAAGCUAAGUGCAAAA